rnacentral:other from 1 species
CUCGCCCUGCAGGCGUUGGUGAUGAUCCGACGAGCCCAUACCCAACGCCAGUACCAUGGAGUGAGGCUCGGAGCGCGCAAGUGGUAGCCCGCAUCGUCGGGAAUCGCGAGGCGUUCCGGCACACAUCCGCCCGUGUUUCACGGGUUCUUGGGCUCAGGAACACACGGCGCCGCGGGGCGAUU